UAAGGAAUAUUGGUCAAUGGACGCAAGUCUGAACCAGCCAUGCCGCGUGGAGGAUGAAGGCCCUCUGGGUUGUAAACUUCUUUUAUUUGGGAAGAAACCGGACUUUUCUAAGGCCGUUGACGGUACCAGAUGAAUAAGCACCGGCUAACUCCGUGCCAGCAGCCGCGGUAAUACGGAGGGUGCAAGCGUUAUCCGGAUUCACUGGGUUUAAAGGGUGCGUAGGUGGGCAGGUAAGUCAGUGGUGAAAUCUCUGGGCUUAACCCGGAAACUGCCGUUGAUACUAUCUGUCUUGAAUAUAGUGGAGGUGAGCGGAAUAUGUCAUGUGGCGGUGAAAUGCUUAGAUAUGACAUAGAACAUCGAUUGCGAAGGCAGCUCGCUACACUAUGAUUGACACUGAGGCACGAAAGCGUGGGGAUCAAAC
rnacentral:rRNA from 1 species